ACGCGGAAGCGGCCGUGGAGGGGAAGGUGGCGGUUCCCCUGAGGAGGGUGUUUGUCUUUAAAGCUGACGCUCCGUCCCCCUCCCCGCAGGGAAGGCUGAGGGCGCUGCCGGCGCUGGAGUCCUUGUUGGGGUCCCCGCCCCGGAGCCUCUCUCAGCGGUCCUUCUGACUGUGAGUGUGAGGGGAGCUGAUUAACAGGCUGUGCUGACAUUGUUGAAGGCACAUGCUGUGACGCCUCAACAUAGUGUCACCUGAGAAAACUUCCCCGACCCCGAUCAGGACCAGGACCAAAUGGCUGCUUCUCAGAAUGGAAAGGAGAUGGAGAGAAAGAUAGAAACAUCAAUUAGGUUAGGGAAUCAUGGGGCAGCUGCCUCCUGCAUGCACUGGGUAUGGAGUUUGAAGCCUGGAGUGUGUCCGGACGAGGAACCUAAGCCUGCCCUCCUGGUUCAUAGGUCAGUCGUCUACUUCUCAGCCACACUGUCUGGGUUAUACUCUCCUCCAUUGUCCCAGAGGCUUGUCUGCGUGCAUUUUAUCUCCCUCCCCAGCUGUGGUUGUAAAUUUGUGUGGUUGUAAAUCCUCCCCUGAGGAGAUAUUUUCCUACCUAUUUUCCAUUAACUUUUCAAGAGUGCAAGUCAGGGAAGUAGGGGCAGAAAGAGGAAA